rnacentral:tRNA from 1 species
GGCCCGUUGGUCAAGCGGUUAAGACACCGCCCUUUCACGGCGGUAACACGGGUUCGAAUCCGGUACGGGUCA